ensembl:lncRNA LINC02471 long intergenic non-protein coding RNA 2471
UGGUAGAGUAUGCUGACGCAGUGAGCACACAGAAGACUUUUUUCAUGUGACAGAGCCAGAGUCUGAGAUCUGCAGUUGCAGAAUAUUUAGCUUACCUAAAGUUAACAUCUGAUGACAUGAUCGCAACUCCAUAUCCUGAGUUGAUUUCAACCUAUGAUGUUGGAAUUUUCCACAUGGAGAUAAACACUGGGAAGCAGCUAAUCAUUCUCUCUGGAUUUAUAAGGAACAAAUGGAUAAGUGAAACUUGAAAACAAUGGCCAAAGUACUAAGAACUAAUGUUUCUUCAACAAAACAAAUACUUUUACUUUAAGAACAGAAGAUAAAAGGCCAAAGUUGUAAUAUAAGACAAAUUACGGAAAUAUACACUUAUACAUAUAAAACCACUCCUCUUUUUAAAAAAUCAUGCUUUUUAAGAAGAAUCUUCUCAUAUCAGUGAGAAAGAAAGUUAUCUUAACAAACAAAAAGUAUUUUGAAAAAAAGCGUUCACAUGUAUAAGAAAGAAAAUGAACAAAUAAAUAGGAAAAAAGAUCUCUGGUUCAACCAUAUCAAA